AUUGAACGCUGGCGGCGUGCCUAACACAUGCAAGUCGAGCGGUAACAGGCGUAGCAAUACGUGCUGACGAGCGGCGAACGGGUGAGUAACGCUUCGGAAUCUGCCCAAUGGUGGGGAAUAACCAGCCGAAAGGUUGGCUAAUACCGCAUGAGCCCUACGGGGGAAAGCGGGGGAUCGCAAGACCUCGCGCCGAUGGAUGA
rnacentral:rRNA from 1 species